rnacentral:rRNA from 1 species
AGUGAACGCUGGCGGUAGGCCUAACACAUGCAAGUCGAACGGCAGCACAGUAAGAGCUUGCUCUUACGGGUGGCGAGUGGCGGACGGGUGAGGAAUACAUCGGAAUCUACUUUUUCGUGGGGGAUAACGUAGGGAAACUUACGCUAAUACCGCAUACGACCUACGGGUGAAAGCAGGGGAUCUUCUGACCUUGCGCGAUUGAAUGAGCCGAUGUCGGAUUAGCUAGUUGGCGGGGUAAAGGCCCACCACGGCGACGAUCCGUAGCUGGUCUGAGAGGAUGAUCAGCCACACUGGAACGGAGACACGGUCCAGACUCCAACGGGAGGCAGCAGUGGGGAAUAUUGGACAAUGGGCGCAAGCCUGAUCCAGCCAUACCGCGUGGGUGAAGAAGGCCUUCGGGUUGUAAAGCCCUUUUGUUGGGAAAGAAAAGCAGCAGGUUAAUACCCCGCUGUUCUGACGGUACCCAAAGAAUAAGCACCGGCUAACUUCGUG